GUGGCAUGGCAUAUUUGUCAACUCUUAUGAUGAGAUAUGUAUUAUCUCAAUUGAAACUUCAGAGUAACAGAGACCAAAACCAUGUUUAAAAAUAUAAAUUUCAGUUUAUUGCACAAUCAUUGCAGGAGACUGAGGGGGUGGAAGGGUCUAUCUGAGAUCAACCAGAAAAAAAUGCUCUGAGGGACGAGACAAGAUUAUUACACACUUGUUACAUGGUGUUUGACACAACACUCAUACUGUGAAUACAUGUAUUCAAGGGGGAAACAAAAAGCAAACACGCACACCAGCAAUGAAAGGAAAAAAUGACACAAAUUACAAUACAUUCCAUGUGUGAAAAUCAUAAAGCAAUUUGGUAACCAUACACAAUUAAUAUGACCUAAAAGAAAAUGACUCUUGCUCUGAGAUGAUCAACCUGUCUGUGUUUGUGCGUGUGUGUGUGUGUGUGUGUGUGUAUACUGGGUAUGGUCAAACACCGUGCCACUGCAGACUGGUAUGUGAAGUGUGUGCUUACAAUCCGGUCAUACAAUCGCAUUUGAUAGAAACAAUCACUGUGAACAAAUAUCACCACUAGAUGGCGCCAUAUCAAUCCAGAUGCUUCAAAUGUGGACACAACGUAGGACACACAAACAAACAUACACAUAUGGAGACAGACUCUCAGGAAAGGUCCCUUUUACCCCACGAAAGACAGGCAGUCUCAUUGUCUGUACAUGAGUUGAUUGGUACAAUCUUCAGUACCAGUCUUCUUCAGAGUUACAGUAUUAAUAACAUCCAUAAUGAAAGUAUUAGGAAUAACUAACAGUUACUCUUUUAUAAAUAAUCAUGAACAGGCUAUCCAGCACCUGCAUACUAAAAAAAGAAGACAGUUGCCAUAUUUUUUGUUAGUAAUAGUUUCAUACAUUGUUGUUAUUGUACACAGAGGACAGUAUAUUAUACAAAGACAAUGAUGCGUUGUUUGCCUCCUCCUCUGAACUAUGGGCCUUUGACUGUGGGCACUGUACAGUGUAACCUUCAAUUGUCCCUUUCAGUCCAUGGUCCCUAGUAGAUCUACCAUUUGUAAUCCCUCUUCCUGUUUUUAAUCUUCUCGUUUAUAUGUUUCCUCUGCUAUGCAUAUUCAAACAAUCGGCAUAUAUUCAUCUCACUCUGACUCUGAAGUUUACUUCAAAACAAGGAGGCAACGGACUGAGGUGGAGCCAAUUCAAAGUUGCCCAAGGCGCCCAUACUUCAGAUGCUGCAAUCUUCACACACACCACCAGUUUCAUUCUCAGACCUUCACCUCCGAUGUGGGGAUGAGUGGCCGGCUGCUCUGCCUCACUGGGUGUCCAGUUAGCACAGCAGCUGAGGAGCCAGUAGAUGGGCUCAGGGCAGAUCUUAAAGGGAUGAGUUGCAGACAUGCGGUGACAAGGCACCCUGAGCCGAGGUCAACCCUGAAUGGCAAAGGGACGGGGGGAGCCCAACUGAGACAAGGACAGAUUCUGUUGUGGCAGACACCAUAUCCCAUUUCAGAUGAAUAUGGGGGGGGUGGGGGGGGUCUAUGAGUAACUAUGCUUAGAACUGUUCUACAGUCAGAUUGUACGGUCUGCACACACUUGGUUACGCAUAGAUAGACUGUUGUUGUAAGAAGUACUGGUCUAUGCCACAGAAUCUAAAUCCAAUCCAGUGUGGAGCAUGUUGCAGGAAAUUACAUGUAUAUCGUAGGUGCUGAUGCGGGGAAAAAAGGCCCAGCUGUUAAGAUGAGACGGCAAGCAAUGAUUUCUGAGUUUAUUUUAUAUGGUGUUCCUGUUGUAAUCCCCUCAACUGUCAUCUAUCUCACAUAAUGCAAUGUAAGGCUUUUGACAUUUCUUUCUCCACCCCCGCUUAAAUCGACUUACAGUAUUGUCACACUUUGCCGUACACAAAAAAAGCGUUGGCAUGGCAACCAGGACAAGGAAAUGGUCCAUUGCGACAUCAGGCACUGGCCAGCAUUUCCCUCAAAAUACUGCAGACUUCACUGAGUAGAGCAGUCAAGAGAAGCAUCGGACCCAGGCUUGCUCAGCAGAGCCAUCUGAGUGCAUAUUCGUUCAAUUUCCGUUAAAAAAAGGGAGGCCUGAAUUGUUGUAAUACACAAAAAAAUUGAUAAAAUGACAGAAAACAUAUAUCUUUUCUGUAUAGUGUUAAUCCUUAGUGCUCUACAGAACCGGUGAGACAAAUCUGAACACAUCCUACAGAAUAUGUACUUUAACCAAAUUAAAUGGCAGAACCUGUGAGUCAAAUCUGAACACGUCCUACAGAAUAUGUACUUUAACCAAAUGAAAUGGCAGAAAUGCCAUUGGCACACGAGUCAAUGGGCCAACUGAAUUUUGUCUUUGAGAGAGGGAGGUUCACACAUACUCUUCUAACUUUUCUUUGUAACAUCUUGUCUCUUUAAUCCGUCUUAAAAUGAACAGUGCCUUGAAAAAAAAUGACAUAGCACAUAGGGGCUAAUAAGGGUUUUGCCACUCAAGGGAACACUUCUGGUAACACAGCAUUUUUGUUUUAACAAAGCUCUGUCUGGACAGCAGAUGGAGGGUUAGGUUUCCCUUUAGAACAACUCCAGCUAUCAUCCAGCUUUCAUCUACACUACCGUCACCUAAGAUAUGUCAUGUAGAUAUACACAUACAUACAAAAACAUUUCAGCAUACAUAUAUAUAUAUAUAUAUAUAUAUAUAUAUACACACAUAUAUUUCUUUCACUGUAUGCAUAUAUCAUUUACAUACGUACAAGUAUGUACAGUAUUUAUAUGGACUUUAAAUAUGUCUUGUUAUUGAUAUUCACUUUGAUCCAAAGCCCUUUUCGUAAAAAAUAAAUAAAACAGUGCAGUUUAUUUGAUACAGUUGUAUUGCCUCUGUUGUUCCUCAGUUGUAAUAGUUGUUCUUCCCUUUUUCCUACGGGCAUAUCUGAAGCUUUGUGAAGCUCUUCACAUGAGUGGCUCAUCCUACACAUUACAUAUCCUACUUUAAAAUGCACUAGCAUUAGGCUGGCAUCAGGCAAGUAUUAAAAAUGUGGGUUUAAAUAUACGUAUACAGUAGAUAUUCAUCUUUUUUUGUCGUUACAUCUUUAAUUCAAGGGAUCUGUUAGCUUCUUUUGUCUGUUGAGCUACUAGCAUGCGUUAGUUCCAUUACUUCCUCCACAGGGGCGUCAGCACACAGGGGCGCCAGCACAGGUAUGCCACACAGAGACUAGCAGAGCGUCCCUGAGGGCUGGAGUUAAAGAGUCUAUCAUGAGGUCAGACGUGUUUGAGGAGUAAGAGUAUAGGUUGAAGAUCGUACAAUGGGAACUUCUGCGGGGGUGCUACACUCUAGGGCUAUAGGUGUGUGGGUGUGUUUGUUUGUGUGUGCAUGUGUGGCUCUGUGUGUGUGUGUGUCUGGGGGGGGGGGGGGGGGGGCUGUGUGUAUUUGGGAGUAGGUGUGUUUUGUGUGUGUUUGGCAAUUUGUGAAACAGGAAGGGACGUGGGAGUUGUGGUCGUCAACAAAUGCGGAACAGAUACGAGCGAGCAACUCACUCUAGCAUGAUAACAUGUAUAAACAGCCUGGACUCUUAUCGCCAAAGUAAAUGACAGUUUUUUUCCCAAAAAAACAAAAAUCCGCUUUCAACUGUGAUUGUUGACAAUAAAUAAAAUAGAUUGACAUGUUUAAAACAAACGACAAUAAAACAAAAAGCACAUGUUAUACACUCAACAAAGGAAAUAAACUAAAAAACUGAAUGGAACAUAUUAUAAAGGUUAAACAACUAUCACAUGACAACCGUGACAUAAAAGUGCUAUUUGUGAUUUCUAAUACUGACAUCUUGUAAGACUCUUCAAGGUUACUUGUGUUUUAAAAAAAAAGCAAAGAAGAAGAAGAGGGACCUUAUUCAUUGGCUUGCUGUGUCUAAAAGCUCUCCUCAGUGCAAAUGGAUUGGUGCUUAAAACAAUGGUUCAGCCGGCAGAACGUCCCAAAUGCUGCUCCUUGUAUGUUCUAAACUAGAUAGACUGAAGUUGUGAAGAGUUUCAAUACGAAUGAUUUAACCAUGUACAGUACACUGAAACUUGACAUUUGGCCCCGCUCUGUUGUUGUUGCAUUAGAUAGAAUUUAAAGUCUACCACAAAGAGAAAACUUCCCUAAUUAGCAGACAGUUCUGAAUAACUCCAAUGAUAUCAAGCCUUCAAUGGUGAAGCAGUAAUUGGUUAAAACAGUAAACGUAAAAGUGGAUUACCCUGUUAGUGUUUCUUAAAAUUGACAAUGUUGAUAUGAGUUUGAUGACAUAUAUCACAACUUGACAGCCUGCUUCCUUAUUCCUGGCAAAGUAGUGUUGCUGUUGAUAGUGUCUUGCGUCGCAAUGCACUUUGACCACAACAAAACGGAAUUGUAUGACAUCAUAAUGCAACAUUAGAUAAAGCUUCAGGCACCAGGUUUGGCGCUAAAAGUAUGUGUUUUUAUCUUUCAGAGAUGGCACGUCAUUCUGCAUAGUCUUAGAAGUGCUUGACAAGACAUUCAUUUGAAGACAUAGACUGCGUGUAAGACCCACACACACUCCUCCCUCCCACGCCCCGCCACCCCUCCCU
ensembl:lncRNA